rnacentral:rRNA from 1 species
UACGAAGGGGGCUAGCGUUGUUCGGAAUUACUGGGCGUAAAGCGCAUGUAGGCGGAUCUAUAAGUCAGAGGUGAAAUCCCCGGGCUCAACCCUGGAAUUGCCUUUGAUACUGUAGAUCUGGAGUCUGUGAGAGGUGAGUGGAAUUCCGAGUGUAUAGGUGAAAUUCGUAGAUAUUCGGAGGAACACCAGUGGCGAAGGCGGCUCACUGGCCCGAGACUGACGCUGAGAUGCGAAAGCGUGGGGAGCAAACAGG